rnacentral:rRNA from 1 species
GGCGGCAUGCUUUACACAUGCAAGUCGAGCGGCAGCGCGGGACUCAGGCAACUGAGCCCUGGCGGCGAGCGGCGAACGGGUGAGGAAUACAUCGGAACGUACCCCGGAGUGGGGGAUAACGCCGCGAAAGCGGCGCUAAUACCGCAUAUGCUCUGCGGAGGAAAGUGGGGGACCCUGUAAGGGGCCUCACGCUCUGGGCGCGGCCGAUGUCCGAUUAGCUAGUUGGUGAGGUAAUGGCUCACCAAGGCGACAAUCGGUAGCUGGUCUGAGAGGAUGAUCAGCCACACUGGGACUGAGACACGGCCCAGACUCCUACGGGAGGCAGCAGUGGGGAAUUUUGGACAAUGGGGGCANCCCUGAUCCACCCAUGCCGCGUGCGGGAAGAAAGCCUUCGGGUUGUAAACCGCUUUUAGUCGGGAAGAAAAGGUUAUCCCUAAUAGGGAUGACUGUUGACCGUACCGGCGGAAU